AGCCCUCCUCAAGAUGAAACUUCCCAUCACGUUAAGUGAGUAAGAUCCCUCAGAGACGAUGAGGUUGAUAGGUCCGAGGUGGAAGCGUGGCGACACGUGGAGCUGACGGAUACUAAUCGAUCGAGGACUUAACUAA
rnacentral:rRNA from 1 species